rnacentral:rRNA from 1 species
UACGUAGGGGGCUAGCGUUGUCCGGAUUUAUUGGGCGUAAAGAGCGUGUAGGCGGCCAGGUAGGUCUGGUGUGAAAACUUGAGGCUUAACCUCGAGAUGUCAUCGGAAACCAUCUGGCUAGAGUCCGGAAGAGGAAAGUGGAAUUCCUGGUGUAGCGGUGAAAUGCGCAGAUAUCAGGAAGAACACCAAUGGCGAAAGCAGCUUUCUGGGACGGUACUGACGCUGAGACGCGAAAGCGUGGGGAGCGAACAGG